UUGUUUUUUAAGUAUGAAAAAUAUUUGGAGAACUAGGGAGGCUUGGACUAUACAGGUACAGUGAUUUCUAAAACAAAUUUAUUAAGGGCCGAGAAAAUGGAGCUAUAAAACGAGUUAACAGUUGCGUCUAUGUUCGGUGAUGAAUAAAGAAACGACCAGUCAACAAGCGAGAGAUAAAGAUUUAAAUCAAUAAUUUUUUUUUUUUCGAAAACACUAUGCGGCACGGAGCCAUGGAACUGUCGGCAACAGUAGAUCGGGCACAUUCAAAGGAUAUCGACCGAGUUGGAUGGCGGAAUAAGGAAUAAUUAUAAUGCGGUUUGAGCCUUACUGAAAAAAUGAAUUAAUAGCGCGAGAUGGUGUGAGGGAGAGUUAAUGGUAAUUAUUCGGAAAGAAUAACAACGAAGCAAGAGACUGCUAAUGGUCGUAUUCCAGUACACUUCAAGACAAAUCUCCUCUGAAAGAUAUGCAUAGAUAGCUAAAUUAAUGUUGGUACCGUCUCCACAGUUGUAUCAGUCGAAGAACUAUGAUUGAAAUCAAAACCAAACUAUCAGGUUUCAGUAUCUGGACAUACUGGGUCGCCUUGAAGUGUCGUGAUUUUUCCCGAUAAAACAAAGUCUUCCUAAAAAUCAUACUAGAUUAUUACAAAUAAAGUGACUUAUGCGAAAAUGUGAUAAAAUAAAAU